AUUCAGUCUGAGCCUGAUCGGUACUGCCUGUUUCUAGGCUUGUGGAGAACAGUGCAAAUAUUCCAGAGAACCCCGGAAGUCCCCAAGGGACCCAGAAAGGAUUUUUAUUUGACAGCAAGGAGAAAUUCCUAGCUGAAGACUUCUAAAUGCUGAUCUGUUUUAAUUAAGAAAUCUUCUAAGACGUUAUCGGAAACGAGACCAGAACUCGAAGCACCGGGACAUACCUCAACAGCAUUGCCAUGCCUGGGGCUUCAGUUUCUCUGCAUCACCCUCAUGGUGGACUCUAAUGAGCUCGGCAACUUCGUCUUAUUCCCUCUUGGUACUCCCAGUACCUGGCACUGUGCCAGGAAUACGCUCAGUGAAUCCUGCUGUGCAAUCGUGGGUGCUGAGAGUCACCCUGGACCUGUGACUUUUCUUCUUCCUGUGCUCCCUAUAUGCCAACAGCCUCUGUCCCUGCUCAGGACCCUCACCAUCUCUCCUGGAAACGGCCCUAGUCUCCUUGUCUCCACACUUAUCUCAU